rnacentral:rRNA from 1 species
ACGGCUCAGUAACACGUAGGUGACCUGCCCUGAAGUGGGGGAUAACGACUCGAAAGAGUCGCUAAUACCGCAUGUGACCACCGAUCCGUUUUCGGUGCUCAAAGUCGUAAGACGCUUUAGGAGGGGCCUGCGGCGGAUUAGCUAGUUGGUGAGGUAAUGGCCCACCAAGGCUUCGAUCCGUAGCUGGUCUGAGAGGAUAGCCAGCCAGACUGGGACUGAGACACGGCCCAGACUCCUACGGGAGGCAGCAGUUAGGAAUUUUGCGCAAUGGGGGAAACCCUGACGCAGCCACGCCGCGUGCGGGAUGAAGGCCUUCGGGUCGUAAACCGCCUUUCUCGAGGAAGACACCCGACGGUACUCGAGGCAUAAGCAACGGCUAACUACGUGCCAGCAGCCGCGGUAAUACGUAGGUUGCGAGCGUUGUCCGGAUUUACUGGGCGUAAAGCGCACGCAGGCGGUUCCGAAAGUCGAAUGUGAAAGCUCCUGGCCCAACUGGGAGAGGCCGUUCGAAACUUCGGGACUUGAAGGCGGGAGAGGCAGAUGGAAUUUCCGGUGUAGCGGUAAAAUGCGUAGAUACCGGAAGGAACACCAGUGGCGAAAGCGAUCUGCUGGCCCGCCCUUGACGCUCAGGUGCGAAAGCUAGGGGAGCGACCGGGAUUAGAUACCCCGUUAGUCCUAGCCGUAAACAAUGGGCACUAGGUGUUGUCGGUAUCGACCCCGGCAGUGCCGAAGCUAACGCAUUAAGUGCCCCGCCUGGGGAGUACGACCGCAAGGUUAAAACUCAAAGGAAUUGGCGGGGGAGCAC